GACGAACGCUGGCGGCGUGCUUAACACAUGCAAGUCGAACGGAAAGGCCCUGCUUUUGUGGGGUGCUCGAGUGGCGAACGGGUGAGUAACACGUGAGUAACCUGCCCUUGACUUUGGGAUAACUUCAGGAAACUGGGGCUAAUACCGGAUAGGAGCUCCUGCUGCAUGGUGGGGGUUGGAAAGUUUCGGCGGUUGGGGAUGGACUCGCGGCUUAUCAGCUUGUUGGUGGGGUAGUGGCUUACCAAGGCUUUGACGGGUAGCCGGCCUGAGAGGGUGAUCGGCCACACUGGAACUGAGACACGGUCCAGACUCCUACGGGAGGCAGCAGUAGGGAAUCUUCCGCAAUGGGCGAAAGCCUGACGGAGCAACGCCGCGUGAGUGAUGAAGGUCUUCGGAUCGUAAAACUCUGUUAUUAGGGAAGAACAUAUGUGUAAGUAACUGUGCACAUCUUGACGGUACCUAAUCAGAAAGCCACGGCUAACUACGUG
rnacentral:rRNA from 1 species